AGAGUUUGAUCAUGGCUCAGAUUGAACGCUGGCGGCAGGCUUAACACAUGCAAGUCGAGCGGUAGCACAGGGGAGCUUGCUCCCUGGGUGACGAGCGGCGGACGGGUGAGUAAUGUCUGGGAAACUGCCUGAUGGAGGGGGGAUAACUACUGGAAACGGUAGCUAAUACCGCAUAACGUCGCAAGACCAAAGAGGGGGACCUUCGGGCCUCUUGCCAUCAGAUGUGCCCAGAUGGGAUUAGCUAGUAGGUGGGGUAAUGGCUCACCUAGGCGACGAUCCCUAGCUGGUCUGAGAGGAUGACCAGCCACACUGGAACUGAGACACGGUCCAGACUCCUACGGGAGGCAGCAGUGGGGAAUAUUGCACAAUGGGCGCAAGCCUGAUGCAGCCAUGCCGCGUGUGUGAAGAAGGCCUUCGGGUUGUAAAGCACUUUCAGCGAGGAGGAAGGUGGUGAACUUAAUACGUUCAUCAAUUGACGUUACUCGCAGAAGAAGCACCGCUAACUCCGUGCCAGCAGCCGCGGUAAUACGGAGGGUGCAAGCGUUAAUCGGAAUUACUGGGCGUAAAGCGCACGCAGGCGGUUUGUUAAGUCAGAUGUGAAAUCCCCGGGCUCAACCUGGGAACUGCAUUUGAAACUGGCAAGCUAGAGUCUCGUAGAGGGGGGUAGAAUUCCAGGUGUAGCGGUGAAAUGCGUAGAGAUCUGGAGGAAUACCGGUGGCGAAGGCGGCCCCCUGGACGAAGACUGGACGCCUCAGGUGCGAAAGCGUGGGGAGCAAACAGGAUUAGAUUACCCUGGUAGUCCACGCUGUAAACGAUUGUCGAUUUGGAGGUUGUGCCCUUGAGGCGUGGCUUCCGGAGCUAACGCGUUAAAUCGACCGCCUGGGGAGUACGGCCGCAAGGUUAAAAACUCAAAUGAAUUGACGGGGGCCCGCACAAGCGGUGGAGCAUGUGGUUUAAUUCGAUGCAACGCGAAGAAACCUUACCUACUCUUGACAUCCAGAGAACUUUCCAGAGAUGGGAUUGGUGCCUUCGGGAACUUCUGAGACAAGGUGCUGCAUGGCUGUCGUCAGCUCGUGUUGUGAAAUGUUGGGUUAAGUCCCGCAACGAGCGCAACCCUUAUCCUUUGUUGCCAGCGGUUCGGCCGGGAACUCAAAGGAGACUGCCAGUGAUAAACUGGAGGAAGGUGGGGAUGACGUCAAGUCAUCAUGGCCCUUACGAGUAGGGCUACACACGUGCUACAAUGGCAUAUACAAAGAGAAGCGACCUCGCGAGAGCAAGCGGACCUCAUAAAGUAUGUCGUAGUCCGGAUUGGAGUCUGCAACUCGACUCCAUGAAGUCGGAAUCGCUAGUAAUCGUAGAUCAGAAUGCUACGGUGAAUACGUUCCCGGGCCUUGUACACACCGCCCGUCACACCAUGGGAGUGGGUUGCAAAAGAAGUAGGUAGCUUAACCUUCGGGAGGGCGCUUACCACUUUGUGAUUCAUGACUGGGGUGAAGUCGUAACAAGGUAACCGUAGGGGAACCUGCGGUUGGAUCACCU
rnacentral:rRNA from 1 species